rnacentral:snRNA from 1 species
UUUUCUAACGGCAUUGACAUGU